GACGAACGCUGGCGGCGUGCCUAAUACAUGCAAGUCGAACGAGAGCGACCGGUGCUUGCACUGGUCAAUCUAGUGGCGAACGGGUGAGUAACACGUGGGUAACCUGCCCAUCAGAGGGGGAUAACAUCCGGAAACGGAUGCUAAAACCGCAUAGGUCUUCGAACCGCAUGGUUUGAAGAGGAAAAGAGGCGCAAGCUUCUGCUGAUGGAUGGACCCGCGGUGCAUUAGCUAGUUGGUGAGGUAACGGCUCACCAAGGCCGUGAUGCAUAGCCGACCUGAGAGGGUGAUCGGCCACAUUAGGACUGAGACACGGCCCAAACUCCUACGGGAGGCAGCAGUAGGGAAUCUUCCGCAAUGGACGCAAGUCUGACGGAGCAACGCCGCGUGAGUGAAGAAGGUUUUCGGAUCGUAAAACUCUGUUGUUAGAGAAGAACAAGUGCUAGAGUAACUGUUAGCGCCUUGACGGUAUCUAACCAGAAAGCCACGGCUAACUACGUG
rnacentral:rRNA from 1 species